rnacentral:rRNA from 1 species
UACGUAGGGAGCAAGCGUUGUCCGGAAUUAUUGGGCGUAAAGCGCGCGUAGGCGGCCUUUUAAGUCGGAUGUGAAAGCCCUCGGCUCAACUGGGGAAGUGCACCCGAAACUGAAAGGCUUGAGUACUGAAGAGGGUCGCGGAAUUCCCAGUGUAGAGGUGAAAUUCGUAGAUAUUGGGAGGAACACCAGCGGCGAAGGCGGCGACCUGGUCAGAUACUGACGCUGAGGCGCGAAAGCGUGGGGAGCAAACAGG